rnacentral:rRNA from 1 species
AGUGAACGCUGGCGGUAUGCCUAACACAUGCAAGUCGAACGGCAGCACCGUAAGAGCUUGCUCUUACGGGUGGCGAGUGGCGGACGUGUGAGGAAUACAUCGUAAUCUACUUUUUCGUGGGGGAUAACGUAGGGAAACUUACGCUCAUACCGCAUACGACCUACGGGUGAAAGCAGUGGAUCUUCGGACCUUGCGCGAUUGAAUGAGCCGAUGUCGGAUUAGCUAGUUGGCGGGGUAAAGGCCCACCAAGGCGACGAUCCGUAGCUGGUCUGAGAGGAUGAUCAGCCACACGGGAACGGGGACACGGUCCAGACUCCUACGGGAGGCAGCAGUGGGGAAUAUUGGACAAUGGGCGCAAGCCUGAUCCAGCCAGACCGCGUGGGUGAAGAAGGCCUUGGGGUUGGAAAGCCCUUUUGUUGGGAAAGAAAAGCAGCAGGUUAAUACCCCGCUGUUCUGACGGUACCCAAAGAAGAAGCACCGGCUAACUUCGUG